UCUACAUUUUAAGAGCAAGAACUAAGCACUUGCUACCAUUAAAGCUGACAAUGAGUUCUAUGAUGCAAAUUGGUGAUGCAAGUCUAUCGAUAUUAAAAUAUGUAUGUGCCAAAGCAUCAUUUCCAGACAAGUUCAUUAUGGUAAUGCAAAUCCUGAACCUGGCAACUGGAAAAAUAAAGAUGUGAUUUGGAAUUGCUCCAGUUUGAAAAUUUCUGAUUGGAUUUCUCAGAGAAGAUAACUUAAUCAAGAAUAAACCAAACUAGGUUGCACCACAUGCAUCUGAGAUUACUUAUAACAGUCAACAUAGAUUUCAUCUACAUUCCAAUCACAUCUACUGACCUGGAAAUUUGCAACAAUCUUUUCCUUUUCUUUUUUUUUGAGGUCAUGCUUUAUAUUUGUCACCACCUGAUUACAAAAGUCUACUGUAAUACUAUACAAGCUUAAGAGAGAUGAACUCAAACCUGCAACCUGCAUAUCAGUCUCCCCAUACUUAAGCGCACUAGGAGGUAUUUUGGGUGCUGUCAUGCCAGUUGUUGGGGUCACUAUGACAUCAACCUUUUUAAAAAUUUCCAUGUGAUGGUACAUUAAUCUUCGCCUGAAACACUGUGCAGCAACAUAGUCUGCUGCACUGAAUGAUCGAAAUAGUGCAAAACUGGUACGGGUAUCAUAUGUCAAUCUCUUGCCUUUCCCAUCCUCAAUAUCAUGGUUUAAUGAGCACUGCGUUUCGGAUCCAAUUGAAACAAGAUGAGCAAUGCGCAUCUCGUCAAGCUCAGGCACCACAAUCUCUACCAUCUCACAGCCAUGUGUUUUAGAUAGAAGGUUAAGAAUAUCCUCACACUUAUUGGAGAUGUCAGUUGAGUGCACAUCAUUGAACCACGCUGUAUAUUUUCCCAGUCGCAAUGAUCCCAAAAUAUCUGUAUUUCCAUAGGAUGACAAAUUAGGCAAACAUGGGGGAGACUGCAAAAAAACAUGUAGAACAUUGUAAGGAUCAUAUCUUGAAAGAAAAAUGAAGCCUAGCAAGUAGUCAGAACUUAAAAUUUAACCUCCUUAGCAUGUACAAAGUAUGUCAACACAGAACAAGAUACAAGUAUGACUACAAUUGCAACUAGAUAUUAGGAAAAACAAGUUUCCAUUACCAGCAAUAGUAAAUUUGUAUUAUUCACUUCAAAAUAAAAUCCCAGCUCUAUUUAAGACUUGAAAUUAUUGGUAGAGCCAAAUGACUAGAGCUUUAAAAAGAUUAGGGACAGAAACAAAUUUUAAAUAAAUUUACAAUUGCUUUGGAUAGCUGUUGUAUUUUAUGAAGUUACCGGGUUCAAACAGAUUCUAUCUGCUGGAGAGGAGCCCAACAUUGCAGCAUACCUGAGGAAUCAAUAGUAUGCAAGGUGACCAACAUUUUCCAACAAGUAAUUACCAAAACUCAACUCAACUGUUCAUUUCAUCAAGGAACACAGUUUACAUGUUCAAACAUCAAAUAAAAGUGGACCCUGGGAAGUAUGAUGACCAGUAAACUAUAAAUGACACCAAAAUGCAACCAUCUCGUUUUUCUCUUUCUCCUUGUCUUUUGUUUAGGAGGGAGGAUUGAGGACUGAUUUUUGUUUUAUUUGUGGAAGGGGGGGGGGGGUUUGGGGGGUGUUCCAGGGGUAAAAAUGGCCAGCACAGGAAACAUUUUAACAGAUACUCUGAAGCUAUACUGCCAAAGGAAGCACACUUUGUAUUGCCUUGAAAGUGACACUGGUACCAAUAGAAUCUAAACCUGCAGCUUGUUCCAGUAUAAUGCAAAUAUGUAUUGUCUGACUUCUUAUAGAGAUCACAUAGCUGCCAUCACAAGCUUCACAUACUCACACUAGUAUGACAUCCUCCAUUGAAGAUGCCAUUGGUCCAAUAAUUUCCACAGUACCAGAAUCGCAUAUUGAACUGUGUCAAAACAAAAAAAGCACUAUAAGAAAUCUCUACUACUGAAAAAUUAUAACUUCAAAUAUCAUGCCAUACAAGAUCAUUAUUUUCUUUUCUUUGAAUAAACAAAUCAUAAAAAUACUAAGUUUCAGGCUUGUGGUAAUAUGCGAUAAUUGACAGGUGAUUAAAUUCUUACCCUCCUAUAUCUGUCCGUCCAUAUGUUGUUUUCAAGCCCACUAUACCACAAAGGGAAGAGGGUAUGCGGACUGAACCUGCCCUUUCCAGCAUUAAAUUAAAAUAAAAUAUUAGUAUGCCACAUGCAUUAACUAUUAGUCAGACCUGAUAUAUCACAUUAUACAACCUCCGCCAUCUGUUCCCAAGGCAGCUGAGCAUAUUCCAGAAGCUACAAUUGCUGCUGGGCCCGAGGAAGAUCCACCUGUGUACCUUUCGAAUGCAUGGGGGUUUCUUGUCGUUCCAUAAUUUGGAUUGUUUCCAGUUGUGCCCAUGCCUAAUUCAUGCAUAUUUGCCUUCCCUACAAAUAUCACACCACAGCUGCGCAAUCUAGAAACACAAACUGCAUCCCUGUUAACAGAACGAACCUCAUGCAUCCAUGUUGUUGCACCUUUAGACAGAUGGGGAUAGCAAUCUAUGUCAUCCUUGAUUGCUAUGAAAAUUCCAUCCAAUAUGGAUAUUGGAUUUCCUUCCUCAAGCCUCCGUGUGGAAGCUGCAGCUUGCUUCCUGACUUCCUCCUCAUCAAAAGAAAUCAACAAUGGUGCCAUGGGGUUCUUCUUUUGAAACUCCUCUAUAACUGAGAUUAUGUGCUCUGCAACCAUAGAUGGAGUUACAAUCUUAGAUCGAUAAGCAUGUGCGUAAUCACGUAUCUUCCAAUAUCUGAAUGAUGGAGCUGAGUCCCCAUUCCAGCAGCUAGCAGGAUCAUAAUGAGGAAGACACUUCAGUGCUGAUUCAACCCGAUCUUCUGGUUUUCCAUCUUCAUCCACAAGAACAAUACCAGGUUCUGGUUCUUGAGGAGGGAAUUCAGGUUUAAACAUGGGUGCUUCUGGUAUCUCAGUGUUUCGCAACAUCUCAUCCAUCUUGUUCUGCUUCUUUAAGUAAGAUAUGAUAAGAGAACCUAUGACUGGAGCCUCAAGUAACUUUACAAACAACUUAAAUCCCAAUCCGGUCAAAUGUGGAGCUUGGAUAACCUCAGGCUUAUACUCGACAGCGGACAAAUCCAAAUCCUUAGCAGGAACCAUUACAAGCUUCUUUCCCAUUCUCAAGAUUGGCGGAAGUCAGUUUCUGAAAGAAAAAAAAAAGAACUUUAGAAAGAGAGAGGGAGAAAGGGUCUUGCAGAUUUAGAAAGAAGAGUGAAAAAGAGUGUCAAAAUGUAUAGAUAGAAGGCGUUGAAGACUAAGAGAGAGAGAGAGACGAUGUGGUAGUUGAUAGCCGUUGGAUGUUUUUAAUUAUUGCCGUUUAAUU
rnacentral:misc_RNA from 1 species